AAACGCUGAGAGAGGAGGAGCAAUAGACAAUCUCAAGAGAGCACAUUCCACAGCUUGAGAGCAAUCUAGGAGGAACCUUUUUUCAAUGUGCUGUAAAUGUAAGUUUCCAACAGUAAGGCUAUCUUCAGAAGAACAUUGAGUGCAGAUCUUAAUAGCUGGAAAUGACUGAAAGAGCCAUUCAGCUGUAUCUUGCCCAAUAGGAGAACCUCCAACUGAACACUUCAUGGAAGCCAUUAAACAAGCAAACACUGGCUCAAUGGAAGAGUGAGGCAUGGGAGACUGCAAUAUAUCCAAAACCAGAAGACCAGAGACCCAGCAUAUCUGAGGUGAUAAAAAUCGGAUGGAGAUCUGAGCAUUAUCUGCAUAAAAGUGGCAUGCAGCACCUCAUUCCUAUAUGGUUUCUCUGAGUAGCUUCACAUAGAUAUUAAAGAAUUUGUAUUGUC